UGGAGGUUGGAAAGGGGCUCCAUUCAUUGUACCGGGGCGGGCGCUACUAUUUCAGCGGCGCGAUUGUGAACCAGCCAAGCCAAAUAUAGUCGUCGACAGAUCACUCGGAGUGGGUUUCAUUCAAGUUUUAUAGCUGCGUCGGAGUGAACUUGACUGAGAAGAACGACAGCGGAAUGGUGGAAACUCCUUGGGAAUGGGUUCCAUGGAAUGUCUGGGCAAGAUUCCUUCCGUCUUUUCCCCAGUGGAGUUGACUCUUCUUGUCCCAUAAGAUCGUCAUUGUGCACAGAAAUAAAUUGACGUCGCCCUUUUAUGUUGCUGACGGAAUCUCCCGCUUGGCAGGAAAAUACCUGUCAUGGGUCACAAGGGGCCACCGGACAUGUGUCUUAGCCAGUGACGUGCACGUCUUACUCCAGCGAUUUUACUAUACACACGGGCUUAUGGCAUUUUCUGAAAAGUCAUAUGGAACAGAACUCAAGUGAACCAAAUAUUGGAAAGUUACAUUGGAAUGUAAACAAAGUAGUCAAAAAG